UCGGCGCAGGCAAGGGCUUGGGUCGGAGGGCGAGGGCCAGGUUCUGGGUUCGAGGGUCAGAGGUCAGAAUCGGUGGCGAGGACCAGGAGGGAGGGGACGAAAGUCAGAGUUGGGGGUCAAUGGGGGUCGGGGAUGGGGGCGAGGGCCGAGGCGGGGUCUGGGAUGAGGGGCGGGGUGCGAGGGCUGCGGUCAGGCGGGCAAAGGUCAGACCUGGGGCCGAGGGCCAGGGCCCGAGGCAGAGGUCGGGGGUGUCCGGGAGGAGCGGGGGUCCUGAGGCGAGGAGUGGGGUCCGGCGAGAACGCGGGUGCCGGUCCCGACUGAGGGAUCGAAGGCCGGGGUCGCGGCGGCGCCUGAGGAGGGUGAGGGUUUUGGGUGGGGGGCGUCAGGCCGUCGGGAUUCCGCGGAGCUCCGGGGACGCAUCGCAGCCGCGGCCGCCGCGGCCCUUUGCAGCUUUGCGGCGGGCCCUCGACAGGGCGGCCGCACUCGCGAGCAGCGGGCGCCCACCUCCUCUCCGGCCUCGUCCCCGCGGCCACUCCGCGCCCAACUCGACAGCCUCUGCCCUACGGCGCGGUGGGCCUGUCGCGGCGACCGGUUCCGUGCGCAAGGCCGGACAGGUCGCCGGCGCCUCCGGCCUCCAGCGUAGGGCGGGCACCGCGGCUUCAGGCUUCCCGGCUCCGGCAGCUCGAUCCCAGGCCCCUGGAAGCACCUCCUGCCCCUUCAGCAAAGAUCUAUCAUUAAUUUUUUCCCAACGGCCUACCAAAACUGUAAAUUUCCAUUCAACUCAAUCUCGUCAGUAGCCUCUGCACCCAACAUGGAACUGGAACUCACAACCCCAAGAUGGAGAGUCACAUGCUGUUUGGAUUCAGCCAGCCAGGGACAGAUGUACUCGGAAUAAACUGCUUAUUCAGAAUUUUAGGCUGAACUAACAAAGGAUUUCUUCAAGCUAUCAAUGUAUGGGAAAGAUAGGAAUAUUAAAGUAUGUACUGCUAAGUUUCUGGAGUAUUGACAAAUAUGAACAGAAGAAGUGCCAUGGAAAUAGUGUGAAAAAUAAACAGAAGUGAGGCACCUGGGUGGCUCUGUCGG